CCUACGGGUGGCAGCAGUGAGGAAUAUUGGUCAAUGGGCGCGAGCCUGAACCAGCCAAGUCGCGUGCGGGAAGACGGCCCUACGGGUUGUAAACCUCUUUUGCCGGGGAGCAACGGGCGCCACGUGUGGCGCCACUGAGAGUACCCGGAGAAAAAGCAUCGGUUAACCCCGUGCCAGCAGCCGCGGUAAUACGGGGGAUGCGAGCGUUUUCCGGAUUUAUUGGGUUUAAAGGGUGCGUGGGCGGAGCGUUAAGUCAGUGGUAAAAUUCAGGGGCUCAACCCCUUCCCGCCAUUGAAACUGGCGCUCUUGAGUGGAAGAGAGGUAGGCGGAAUGCGUGGUGUAGCGGUGAAAUGCAUAGAGAUCACACAGAACCCCGAUUGCGAAGGCAGCAUGCCGGCUUCCGACUGACGCUGAGGCACGAAAGCGUGGGGAUCGAACAGGAUUAGAUACCCGGGUAGUC
rnacentral:rRNA from 1 species